rnacentral:lncRNA from 1 species
UUGUCUCAUUGGCACUCAUACCUCAUCUGCUUAUAUCUAUCAACUAUCCAACACGAAUAAGUUGAACAUUAACAAUCUAAUAACCAACAACAUAGUAACGAAACAUGAUUAUAAGGUCGGUGGCUGUACACCACACUGUUCCCCUUUGGACAUCUUACUUCAAUUGAAAAUGGAAACGUGGAACGUGGAACGUGUCAAAGAGGCAACAAUCAGACCAAACAGCAGAAAACUAUAACCCACAUAUCAGUGGGUGCUUGUAUCUGAUUUUUCAGAAGAAGAAAUACUCACUGUCUAAUCGUAUGAAGUUUACAUAUCUCAGUUGAUACGUUACACUCGUGCAUAAGCACACUAUACGAAUUUCAUAAGCAGGGGUGUGCUCCUUACAAAACAAUUGUUCCGAAAAAGUUCUGAGGGAACGACUGAAACCAGUUUAACGAUCUCAUCCAAAAUUGUUUGACCGAUAUAUAAUGGCUGUGUCUCAACUGACAAGCGAUAUUUUUCAGUCUUAGAAUUUAGAUACCAGGAUAGUUGAUUAUAAACUUUCAUUUUAUCGAUUGUGUUCUUUUUUGACAGAGUGUGGAUUCGCAUGACGGGAGAUGUGUGCAUUGCAGAAAAUAACUGUAACCAAGGAUUUGUAUAGUAGUCUUACUAUACAAAUCCUUGCUGUAACACGUUACUGACGCACCUGUUCUCGUUCCUUUUGGAGUUCGUGCGUUUCUCUCAGUUUUUGUUUGUAACCUUAAUCAGUCUUCCUAAUCCAGAUACUAGUAUAAGAGUUGAACAAAGGUAAACAAACUACUGUUGCUUAUUUUUUUUCUAAAUAGUUUACCGUUUACUGAAACUUUGCUUAUAUAUGUGAAUGUAUAAAUUCAUAUAAUCCCCCCUUAAAUGAUAAU